CACCAAGAUCAUCAACCCGUGUUA
rnacentral:rasiRNA from 1 species